rnacentral:rRNA from 1 species
AGUGAACGCUGGCGGUAGGCCUAACACAUGCAAGUCGAACGGCAGCACAGGAGAGCUUGCUCUCUAGGUGGCGAGUGGCGGACGGGUGAGGAAUACAUCGGAAUCUGCCCAGUCGUGGGGGAUAACGUAGGGAAACUUACGCUAAUACCGCAUACGACCUUCGGGUGAAAGAGGGGGAUCGCAAGACCUCUCGCGAUUGGAUGAGCCGAUGUCGGAUUAGCUAGAUAGCGGGGUAAUGGCCCACCAAGGCGACGAUCCGUAGCUGGUCUGAGAGGAUGAUCAGCCACACUGGAACUGAGACACGGUCCAGACUCCUACGGGAGGCAGCAGUGGGGAAUAUUGGACAAUGGGCGCAAGCCUGAUCCAGCCAUACCGCGUGGGUGAAGAAGGCCUUCGGGUUGUAAAGCCCUUUUGUUGGGAAAGAAAUCUUUCAGGCUAAUACCCUGGGAGGAUGACGGUACCCAAAGAAUAAGCACCGGCUAACUUCGUG